UUCAGUGCUAAAACACUGUUCAAUGGCAAAUGCUAUUUACUAUUAUGGAAACUUAAAAAAAUGUAUGUCAUUUAGGAAUGAUUUAGGGAAAAAGAAAAUGUAUUUGUGUUUUUUAAUCUUCACAGGACUAAUGAGAGACUGUCAGAGAGCAAUACAAAACUUCUUGUGGAGAGACAGCAGCACCAAACUUUACUCAGGACCCUUACUAUGAGCCCAGGCCUGGAACCACCUUAUUGUGGACAUUUUGAAAAUAAUUUAGUGCUCAAUGGAAACUUUACUCCAGGAGGAAACUUAGUGAUUCCUACCUUGAACCCACGGCCGUCAUAUGACUACUGAGAGACUUCCUUGUGGAAGAUGCAGCGGGAGUUGGAAAAAGAAUAACCAGAGCACUAGAAGAAGCUGCUACCGAAUUUGAAUGAGGAUCCUGUAGAAAUCCUUUAGUAUCUACUGAUGAUUCAAUUCUAAAUCAAGAUCCAGUAUGGAAAGCGCCACGAGAAUAU